GGUGCUAUCGUCUAGUGGUUAGGACAUCACGUUGUGGUUGUACGCAUGUACCGCUUAACAUUCACUAUCACGGAGAAAAUUCCCGUGAAAACGCCGGUUCGAUUCCGGCUAGCGCCA